rnacentral:lncRNA from 1 species
AGUAGAAGUGGGCCAAGCUCUUGGAGCAUUAUGUACAAUUACAUACAUGUACAAUUACAUUACAUUAUGUACAAUUACACGGAAAGUUCAACAUUCAGAAGAGCAAUUAUACAUCAUCUUAUUUCAGUAAUGAAUGUUAGAUCCAUACCCUUUACUUACGUUUCUCCUGUAAAUGUAUUUUCUUCUAUAUUUUAACCUUUGAAAUGUUGCAGCUUUAUACCUCACGUGAAGCGCAUGCAGUGGGAGUCAUAACAGACUGCUUGCUUACACGUAACUAUUUUGUCUUCUUAUGCAAAUGACCACGUAGUGAAAAGUAAUUAUCUUGUCUGUAGUACAUGGACUGGGGGGAAGUUUGUGACGCUCCUGCCAUAGCUACUCUGUUUUCCUCCUUUCCCAGAUACACAUGGGAGGUUUCCCAACAGGACUAUGACACGGUUGCCCUGAAAAUAUGAGGCAAUAUUUUUAAACAGAUCUCCACAGCAAAUACGUAUCCUCUAUCUGAGAUAUUUUAGACAUGUUACAACAAAUCUCUUUCGCACGAUGCCAUGGUAACUGCGUUGCUGCAGUUGAAAUACUGGUAGAAGCAGAGAGGAGAGGGUUGUGCUCCAGCGCCUAGGCCCGGGCCUGGCGCGGCGCGGUGCGCAAGUACAGGCGCGGGCGAGGAACGUCGCCUUCAACGGGUGCGGGUCGCUGGGGACUGGUAUCAUCAGAUUAACUGUCCUUUAGCCAGGUUCACGCUGACUAACGCAUUCAGGACAUCCAAACAAAUAACAGCAAGAUAUAAACCAGGCUGGAGAAGCAGAUGGGCUUAAGAGUCUGUCACUGGCCCCCAGACAACGGGGUCGAUCCUUCUGCUUUGACACAGGCCACGCUGUCACCAAAGGCAUUGUCACUAAAGGCAUCGAGAUGGUGUUGGCUGCACGUUUACUGUGACAACUGCAAGUUACUGUCUGGCUUAUUGAUUGUGCACAGGUCCGGGUGAUUUUGGUGCGUGGAGAUAGGGGGAGGAGAAGUAUAUCACAGUGGGACAAGGGAAAAUGUCUC